AUUGAACGCUGGCGGCAUGCUUUACACAUGCAAGUCGAACGGUAACAGGUUAAGCUGACGAGUGGCGAACGGGUGAGUAAUGCAUCGGAACGUGCCCGGUCGUGGGGGAUAACGCAGCGAAAGCUGCGCUAAUACCGCAUACGAUCUGAGGAUGAAAGCGGGGGACCGUAAGGCCUCGCGCGAUCGGAGCGGCCGAUGUCAGAUUAGGUAGUUGGUGGGGUAAAGGCUCACCAAGCCAACGAUCUGUAGCUGGUCUGAGAGGACGACCAGCCACACUGGGACUGCGAGACGGCCCAGACUCCUACGGGAGGCAGCAGUGGGGAAUUUUGGACAAUGGGCGAAAGCCUGAUCCAGCAAUGCCGCGUGCAGGAAGAAGGCCUUCGGGUUGUAAACUGCUUUUGUACGGAGCGAAAAGGUCUCCUCUAAUACAGGGGGCUCAUGACGGUACCGUAAGAAUAAGCACCGGCUAACUACGUGCCAGCCGCCGCUGUAA
rnacentral:rRNA from 1 species